rnacentral:lncRNA from 1 species
GGGGCCUUAAAGGAGCUAUACAAUAUAAUAGCAGGAGAUGAUGCUAAGAAUUCUACGAGAAAGGAACUAUUAAAAACUAGGUACAAAAGACACACAUAAAUUA